UCUGUUCAUCUUAUCCAGUGGCAGAGAAGGUGGAAGGUGGGACAGCUUCGGCUGGGCGCUCGUGGGCGAGCUCGUCAGCCGUCCGGCUCUCCCCUCCGCUUGCGGCCCUCUCGGCCUCUCCUCCACUUCCGGCGUCCCCGGCCCCCCUGUAGGGCAUCCUCGGCGUUCCUAACCUCAAGAAGUGCGGCGGCGGAAGAUCCGCGUGGGGGCAUCGAGCGCAGCUGGAUCUGCGUGAAGGCAUCCACAGCCUCCGUGCAGACGCUCGAGAUCGACAACGCCACCAUGAUGUACAGCUGCGAGCUGCCCACCCGUGUCCUCAGCCUCUUCGUCCCACUCUUGGUGUCUCCUCAACGAUCCUCAGCAGGGAGCGCAUCAUUGUCGUCAACUCCAAGCUGAUCCGAUGCGUCAAGAGGACUUGAUACAUCAUGGUCUUCUUGUGCUUUGUUGUUUGGUUGGUGUAGAGCCCCUCAGCUCUUACCAAGAGGCUCUAGCUUUGAAUCUGACUCUUUUAGUAGUUGGAGUGUUGCACACAUGGAAUUGAUCGCAGAGAGGAAGCGAAGCAGCAACAGUUUGGGUUCAGAGAAGAUUAGGAGCAGCAGUUCAUUGGAGAAGGAGAGGUACAACAGCCGAGGGCAGUAGCAGAGAGCAGAAUUAGCAGGCCAGGGGCGGCAGCAGAGGAUCAGAAGCAGAGAUGAGUUCGAUUCGAUUGCCAUUGAUAAUGAUUCAGACUUGAGUUUGCACCACCCUUGUGUUACUAAAUAGUUUGUCCUUUUUCACUUGUGAUUAUGCACUAGAGAUUUGCAAGGAUGCAUUGGAUUUUUUUAUACUGAUUUGAUGCACUCUGACUUUGGAAUGCGAACAAAUGUGAUCUUCAAUUGGCAUUGAUGAUUCAGACUUCAA